rnacentral:rRNA from 1 species
AUUGAACGCUGGCGGCAGGCCUCACACAUGCAAGUCGAACGAGUGGCGGACGGGUUAGUAAUGUCUGGGAAACUGCCUGAUGGAGGGGAUAACUACUGGAAACGGUAGCUAAUACAGCAUACCCUCAGUUGUGCCCAGAUGGGAUUAGCUUGUUGGGUGGGUAACGGCUCACCAAGGCGACGAUCCCUAGCUGGUCUGAGCGGAUGACAAGCCACACUGGAACUGAGACACGGUCCAGACUCCUACGGGAGGCAGCAGUGGGGAAUAUUGCACAAUGGGCGCAAGCCUGAUGCAGCCAUGCCGCGUGUAUGAAGAAGGCCGUCGGGUUGUAAAGGACUUUCAGCGGGGAGGCGUUACCCGCAGAAGAAGCACCGGCUAACUCCGUGCCAGCAGCCGCGGUAAUUC